rnacentral:rRNA from 1 species
GAUGAACGCUGGCGGCGUGCCUAAUACAUGCAAGUCGAACGAAACUUCUUUAUCACCGAGUGCUUGCACUCACCGAUAAAGAGUUGAGUGGCGAACGGGUGAGUAACACGUGGGCAGCCUGCCCAAAAGAGGGGGAUAACACUUGGAAACAGGUGCUAAUACCGCAUAACCAUAGUUACCGCAUGGUAACUAUGUAAAAGGUGGCUAUACUACCGCUUUUGGAUGGGCCCGCGGCGCAUUAGCUAGUUGGUAGGGUAAAGGCUUACCAAGGCAAUGAUGCGUAGCCGAAUUGAGAGGUUGAUCGGCCACAUUGGGACUGAGACACGGCCCAAACUCCUACGGGAGGCAGCAGUAGGGAAUCUUCCACAAUGGGCGAAAGCCUGAUGGAGCAACGCCGCGUGUGUGAAGAAGGUCUUCGGAUCGUAAAACCCUGUUGUUAGAGAAGAAAGUGCGUGAGAGUAACUGUUCACGUUUCGACGGUAUCUAACCAGAAAGCCACGGCUAACUACGUG